rnacentral:rRNA from 1 species
GACGAACGCUGGCGGCGUGCUUAACACAUGCAAGUCGAACGGUAAGGCCCUUUCGGGGGUACACGAGUGGCGAACGGGUGAGUAACACGUGGGUGAUCUGCCCUGCACUUUGGGAUAAGCCUGGGAAACUGGGUCUAAUACCGGAUAGGACUACGCGAUGCAUGUCGUGUGGUGGAAAGCUUUUGCGGUGUGGGAUGGGCCCGCGGCCUAUCAGCUUGUUGGUGGGGUGAUGGCCUACCAAGGCGACGACGGGUAGCCGGCCUGAGAGGGUGUCCGGCCACACUGGGACUGAGAGACGGCCCAGACUCCUACGGGAGGCAGCAGUGGGGAAUAUUGCACAAUGGGCGCAAGCCUGAUGCAGCGACGCCGCGUGGGGGAUGACGGCCUUCGGGUUGUAAACCCCUUUCAGCACAGACGAAGCGUAAGUGACGGUAUGUGCAGAAGAAGCACCGGCCAACUACGUG